rnacentral:piRNA from 1 species
UCAACAAGCACACACUGAGAAACUUUAGGAC